CCUACGGGAGGCAGCAGUGGGGAAUAUUGCACAAUGGGGGAAACCCUGAUGCAGCGACGCCGCGUGAGUGAAGAAGUAUUUCGGUAUGUAAAGCUCUAUCAGCAGGGACGAGACAAGACGGUACCUGACUGAGAAGCCCCGGCUAACUACGUGCCAGCAGCCGCGGUAAUACGUAGGGGGCAAGCGUUAUCCGGAAUCACUGGGUUUAAAGGGAGCGUAGACGGCUGAGCAAGCCUGAAGUGAAAGGCGGGGGCCCAACCCCCGGACUGCUUUGGGAACUGUACGGCUGGAGUGCAGGAGAGGUAAGUGGAAUUCCUAGUGUAGCGGUGAAAUGCGUAGAUAUUAGGAGGAACACCAGUGGCGAAGGCGGCUUACUGGACUGUAACUGACGUUGAGGCUCGAAAGCGUGGGGAGCAAACAGGAUUAGAUACCCCGGUAGUC
rnacentral:rRNA from 1 species